UGUUCUAACUGGCCAGCCGCCAUCUUGCAACAUGGAGGAUAGAUUGCAAGUGGAGCCAAGAACAAAAUACAGCUGACUCUGAACAAAUCCUUUUCGUGACUUCUGGAUAAAGGACAACUCAAGCCCCUCGUUCCAGUGGCAGUGGAUUGAUGUGCAGCUUCCUAUGUGAAGGCAGAGCACACGUCUGUCUCUGGAGCUUCCUAGAAUUUCUAACUUGGAAUCACUAAGGACAAAAACUCCUAUAUUCCUGAAGCCCUACAAGCUGGAACUGGACAACUCGAUGUAAAUUUCAGGAGACAACCCCCAUGCCUGAUGUGUGGGCCACUAAGGGAGUUUACCAAAACAUCCAAUGCCAUAACCAGAGACAUUCAAACUAAACCAAGAAAAUGUUUCAAGCUCAAAUCCAGAAAUCUUGUCAACUAACUGCCCUCUGAACUCAGAGACUGAGUUUAUAAUUUGUCCUAAGCCAUUAACCUUUGUUAAUAGCUUUUUUUUGUUUUGUUUAUUUUUUCUGGUUUGGUUCAUGAGGGCAUUUGUUAAGAAGCAUACUCUAAUCCCUUGGUAUAUCCUCCUGAUAGUUCCCAUUGUAAUCUCCCAGCUGCAUUCUCUCAAGGGUUUUGAAGGUGUAUUUGCAGCGAUUAGUGGUAUACUAGGUGGCCUCACUGUGAUUACUGCAACAACUGCAAGAUGACCAAAGGAAUGUGUCUUCCACAAGGCUGACAUUGUGACUUAUGAGUUUCAUGCUAAGACAAAGACAACCCUGCCAUGAUGAUGACUGACAGUAGUGCUGAUGCCAUAAAUUUUUAUCAAAUCCCUCAGUACAGGUUGAGUCUGAUCAAAAGGGGAAAGCUGUUCAGUAAAAUAUGUGGGAGGUCAUUGUUUUGGAUUAAGCUCCUGCACUAGGCCCCAACAGACCAGAUCAAACCAGAAUGGAGUCACUCAUGCCAGAUGCCACAUUGUCAAACUGAAUGUAAAAAUAGGUCACUUGUUCAAAAAAAAAAGGAGAUUCACAGUAACCAAUUGAAAGGGGCCCAGUCAACCUAAGCUCACAUGAUAAGGAAGUCUCCUCUAGUUUAACGUAUGCAAGGAAAGUAGCUUUGAAAUCACCAGUCCACUUUUUGUUUCUUCUUUCUGCUUUCUUCAGUCUUUUCCAUUAUAAAGCCCACACAUCUGCUCAGCUCAGUAGGGCACCUUUCUAUUUCAUAGAUGGAAUGUCACUUGAUUCAUGAAUCAUUAAUAAAAGCCAAUUUGAUGUUUAAAA
rnacentral:lncRNA from 1 species